rnacentral:rRNA from 1 species
UGGGGAAUCUUGCGCAAUGGGAGCAAUCCUGACGCAGCAACGCCGCGUGGGUGAUGAAGGUCUUCGGAUCGUAAAGCCCUGUCGGAGGGGAAGAUGCUUGGAACGUCUAAUAGAUGAGCCAGGUGACGGUACCCUCAAAGGAAGCACCGGCUAACUCUGUGCCAGCAGCCGCGGUAAUACAGAGGGUGCAAGCGUUGUUCGGAAUUAUUGGGCGUAAAGGGAGUGUAGGCGGUUUGGAAAGUCUUCUGUG